rnacentral:rRNA from 1 species
AUGGCUCCUACCAGUAGCAACGCUCGGGUCUUUUGUCUGGUGGCUCUCCUGGUCAUGUCUACCACCUUCUUGUCCUGUGAUGCAGCAGGUGGGUGGACGAAGUUCUGCGUACCCGAGAAAGCCUGCCAGACCCCAGCAGGACUUCAGGGCGACUAUGUGUGCAAGGUUGACUGCGGACGCCAAGGUUAUGAUGAGGAUAAAAGCCACUGCGGGAGUGGCAUUUGCUGCUGUGAAAAGUAA